CAGGGCAUGGUGCUGCCAGGGAUCUUGGCAACUGGACAAUUCCCACCACUGGAAGGAACAAAGCAGGAAAGAUGCGUAAACAGAGAGAAUUUGGAUACCAGCUGGAGAGAACACCUCGCUUGUGCUGGUUCACUCAGCACAACACAUGUCCAUCUGAGGUGCCACGCUAGGCUCUAAGGGCAUAAUGACAAUGAGACAUGCCCCUUGCCCUGAAGAGUCCUGCCACAGGGAAAGCACUGUGGGCUUACAGGAGUUGAAAGAUGGCUGUGGGAACAUGCAGGAGCAGCGACCAGCCUCUCGGCGCUCAGGAGCAAGCUCCAGCCUGUGGUUCCUGAAGACGUCCUGCUGAGCACAAGGACAGCAGGCACAGGUCUUCGCUCUCAGACUUUCCCUCUGGUUGCUGCCCCGAGAGUGGGCCAGCCCAGGUCAGGGGAGCUGAUGACCGGCUGCUGCAAGGGAUGCCGAAGGCGCAGAGCGAAAUAGCAGAAUGUGGAGAGAGGGGACAGGAGGAUGAUGAGGGCCAAGCCCUGCAAAGAGGAGGAAGUCACUGGCAUGAAAGCAGUGGGGGCUGCAGAACAUGUAGGCUGGUGGAGGUCAGAGCACAUCUGCUCCUGGGGAGGAGCAGCUCGGGAGAGGCCGGAAGCUGCACUGGAGCUGGGGCGGCAGGCAUGUCGUCCUCGUCAGACAUAUGAGAACACAGAGGUGCAGAGGGGCCGAGCAACUGCUUCAGAGACACACAGCAUGAGUGCAGCCAGCCCCACUCCCCGUAUGGGAGCCCCGGGUGACAGGAAGGACCUCAGCCACCCCUCCAAGGAGCUGGAUCUUCAUCCUGAAGGCACCUGCGGAGCCCUAGGGAUGUGCAGCAGGAGGAAGGAGCCGACCUGCAUUCUUAGAUGCUCACUCUGACAGCUCUCCGUGCAGUGGACAAGCUGAUGCAAGAGACGCAAAGCUCCACAGAGAGUGGGAAGGGAAGUCAGAGGGACCAGGGCCAGGCUGGAGAUGGCCGUACAGGAGAAACAGCCUGCAAAGAAGGGAGGAGGAGCCAGAACGUGCCCAGCCAAGGCAAAGCAGACUUGGGUCUGUGUAUCAGUCAUUUUGGCCAAUGAGGAGUCCGGCAUCAGCUGGACAGCCCCCAGUGAAGGCUGUCCCCCACCCCGUGAAGUGUGACGCGGACAGCCACCCACCACCACUCCCUCUUGCUCUUCCAUGAAGACACAGUCACCCCUCCUGCUUCCCUGACUCCACUCCAUGUGAUCAGUCUCCCAGAGCUCAGUAUACACGCCACUGCCUCUUCCCUGGACCUGCCGAGAGACCCCACAGGAAGCCACUGCCUCAGCCUAGGAGUGGUUCCUCUAGGCUUGUUUUCAAGUUUGGUUGAUAGAUGCCUUCUGGGGUCUUUAAGGCCACUGUGAUUGUCACGCCAGAGAAGCUAGCAUCUCCCCUGCCACAAGAGAGCCACGGUAGCUGGCACUGCGCCCCAGCUCCGCACUGCGCACUCCGAUCAGCAGAGUUGCAGCAGACUCUGAGCGGACUGCCGAAGAAUAAUGUUCCACGCCCUGACUUUGCCUCCCUCAGCCAAACGCAGGGUUUUGGUUGGAGGGAAUUGACACAUUCAUGCAUUUACUUUUUAUAAAAGGAAACAGAGGCUCAGAGUGGUGACUUGUGCUAGUUCACUCUGGGAGCCCAAGGCGGGGCCGGGCUGGAAUUUGGGCUGUAGAUCUGACCAGGGCUCUGAGCGUAAGUGAAGUGUGUUGCAUUGGCUCCUCACUGUCAGUGAAGGGAGAAGAAACUUGGGGAAUGCAGACCUGCCAUGACAUACUCCUAGCAAUCUCACAGGGGCCUGGAAGUCAGGCCUGGAGGUACCUGUGGAGACCAGCCAGUGCAACUUCUCAGCUUACGGAUGAGGAGACCGGAGCCCAAAGGAGACAAGCGACUUGUUCAAGGUCUAACAGCAAACUUUGACGAGCAGGGAGCAGCACACAUAUUACCAGGAGGGCAAGCCAAAACUGCCGUUUUUGUUUGGAUUCCUUCGAGGCAUCCUUGAAUCCACUCAUUGAGUUUUCUUCCAAGUUCAUUCUCAACCAUGAGAUUGCAAGUUUCAGCAUCUAUCAAUAGCCCUUCAUACUGUUCUCCUCCCCGCAAAGCUUUGAUUGCUCCUUAUGUGGGACCGCAUAACUCUGUAAUCAUAAAAGCUCCCCCAGCCCCAACAUAGUGACUGAUUGUGAGUUAAUGGUUAAAAUGUGCUUGUUAGUUCUGGGACACUAGAUAAAAUCUGUAACAAACAUAGAGUUCCUAAGUGAAUUACCCAACUCCUUGUUUGUCCAAAACUGAUGUUCCGGACACAGCUAUCUAUAGAACAAUCUGCAAACAUCUUUUGACCAUCAACAUUUUUUUUCUCUUUUCUGUAAGUUCUGCUUGCUAACUUCCCCUGCAACCCCCUAUAAAAACAGCCUCGGACUCUCAGCCAGUUGCCUCUCUAAGCUACUUUGCUUUGGGAGUGACAUCUGGCCAGACUAAUAAUGGUCUGUUUUACUUUCCC
ensembl:lncRNA